rnacentral:rRNA from 1 species
GACGAACGCUGGCGGCGUGCUUAACACAUGCAAGUCGAACGGUGAAGCAGUGCUUGCUUUGUGUAUCAGUGGCGAACGGGUGAGUAACACGUGAGUAAACCGCCCUUUACUCUGGGGUAAGGGUUGAAAACGACGUCUAUACCCGGAUACCGGCUGAGACCGCAGGGUGAACGGUUGGAAACAUGUUUUGGUGAAGGAUGGACUCGCGGGCUAUCGGCUUGUUGGUGGGGUAAUGGCUCAGCAAGGCGACGACGGGUAGCCGGCCUGAGAGGGUGACCGGCCACACUGGGACUGCGACACGGACCAGACUCCAACGGGAGGCAGCAGUGGGGAAUAUUGCACAAUGGGCGCAAGCCUGAUGCAGCAACGCCGCGUGAGGGAUGACGGCCUUCGGGGUGUAAACCUCUUUUAGUUGGGAAGAAGCGAAAGUGACGGUACCUGCAGAAAAAGCACCGGCUAACUACGUG